GAAACUCGUUCCAUCUUUUUUUUCUUAUUAACUAAGCGAGAGCUUCUGAAGAAGUGGUGAUUUCAUCGCCUUCGAUCACUCCCUGGAAAUUUUCUCGCUCUUCUAAAUUUCUCCCGGAAAAUUGUGCGAUCUUGUUUGGUUCUGUUUCCUGAAUAUUACUAUGUGCCUCUGAUUUCAAGCUAUCUCCAUUGAAUGUUAGCUCCAUCAUCGCCUCUUCCUUUGUUCCUCAUCAUUCCCAUGGGUUUAUUUUGGUUUGCAAUGCUUGAAGAAAGAGAGUGAACUGUAAAGGAAGCAAGGGGAGUUCAAAUGUUUGAUUUUUAGCUUUUUUGUUAAAUUUGGUGUCUGCGAAGAAUCAUUCUUAUCUUGUCCUCUUUAUAUCUUAAUCAUGAAGUUUGGCUCAACGGAUUUCUAGUUUUUUUGGCAUAUCAUAAUCAUUCUUAUCUUGUCCUCUUUUUCUUUGGUCAAUUGGUCAAAGAAAAACAUUGUUCAAUUGGUCAUAUGACCAAAUGGUCAUGGACAUGUUAUUUGACAGCUCUACCUUCGGAUCAUCUUCUUCGCUGGUUUCUUAGUUUGAAGGUUGGCAUAUCAUAACAUGUUUGGUUUUUUAAUUUUGAUUGUUAGAUUUUAUUUUGUUUUGAUAGAUGAAUAUGAGUUCGGAAUCGUCAAUUGGGCCUCCAAAGAAGUGUGCAUGUGGGUUGCCUGCAAAGUUUGCCACAUCGUGGACCGAUAAAAAUCCGGGAAGAGGGUUCUUCGGUUGUCGCUAGUUCAAGAAGGGUAGGAAUGAUCACUGCGAUUAUUUUGAGUGGUUCGAUCAAGGAGAAGUGGAUGGAUGGCCAAAGGAAGCAUUGAUUCGAGCUCGAAAUGAAAUUCGUGAGAAAGAGAAAGCCAUCAAUAUACUAACUACCCAAUUAAUGGAACUUCGUCUGGAAUUGGAGAAGCAUAAAGAGGAGGCCUCAUCGGAAACAAUUAAUGGGUCUGAAAGUAGUGAGGAUGAGAAAAAUUCUGUGGAACCCAAGGUUGGAUGGAUGAAACAAAUAUUUGGAAGGAUGUCUGUCUCCGAUGCAUAAACCGGAACUUUUCUUUUGGAAAAAAUAACUUUCUGUGAUUCAGAGCGUUUCUUUUGUUCUGUUUAUGUAAGGUGUAAGGUGUAGCUCAUCCUUAAUGUAAGGUGUUGUGUAAGGUGUUGUAAGGUGUUGUGUAGCUCAUCCUUCGUGAUACUCGUCACUGGUUUGACGGUGUCUUAAUGUUAAGUUAAGCUUUUGCGUCUUUCUAUUAGUUACAAUCAUUAUUAUUGUAAGCUUAUUAUUAUUUGUAGCCGGACUAUUGCGAAUAGCAAACGCGCCAUGAAUACUAUGUUUUUCGUAA